rnacentral:rRNA from 1 species
CUACGGGUUGCACCAGUAAGGAAUAUUGCACAAUGGGGGAAACCCUGAUGCAGCAACGCCGCGUGGACGAAGGAGGCCUUCGGGUCGUAAAGUCCUUUUCUGAGGGAAGAGGAAGGACGGUACCUCAGGAAUAAGUCUCGGCUAACUACGUGCCAGCAGCCGCGGUAAAACGUAGGAGGCGAGCGUUAUCCGGAUUCACUGGGCGUAAAGGGCAAGUAGGCGGUUGUUUAAGUUAGGUGUGACAUCUCUCGGCUUAACUGGGAGGGAGCGCUUAAAACUAGGCAACUAGAGGGCGGAAGAAGGGGGUAGAACUCCAAAUGUAGCGGUGGAAUGCUCAGAUAUUUGGAAGAAUACCAGUGGCGAAGGCGACCCCCCGGUCCGUGCCUGACGCUGAGAGGCGAAAGCUAGGGUAGCGAACGGGAUUAGAUACCCUGGUAGUC